UCGGAAUGGGUACAAUUUAAACCCUUUAACGAGUAUCAAGCAGAGGGCAAGUCUGGUGCCAGCAGCCGCGGUAAUUCCAGCUCUGCUAAUACAUAGAAUUAUUGCUGCGGUUAAAAAGCUCGUAGUUGGAUUCGUAUCGGUAUCCUGGAACCCUCCGGGUGUUUCUGGGUGUUAUCGAUUUAUCGUAAUGUUCGGUUUUGAGUCCUUAACAGGAUUCUUAACAGGCAUUGCAAGUUUACUUUGAACAAAUCAGAGUGCUUCAAACAGGCGUUUUCGCUUGAAUGAUCGUGCAUGGAAUAAUAGAAAACGAUUUCGGUUCAGUUUUAUUGGUUUUACGGACUGAGAUAAUGGUUAACAGAGACAAACGGGGGCAUUUGUAUGGCCCCGUGAGAGGUGAAAUUCUUGGACCGUGGCCAGACAAACUACAGCGAAAGCAUUUGCCAAGAAUGUUUUUAUUAAUCAAGAACGAAAGUCAGAGGUUCGAAGGCGAUCAGAUACCGCCCUAGUUCUGACCGUAAACGAUGCCAACUAGCGAUCCGCCGAUGGAAAUUAUAUUGCCUUGGUGGGGAGCUUCCCGGAAACGAAAGUCUUCCGGUUCCGGGGGAAGUAUGGU
rnacentral:rRNA from 1 species